rnacentral:rRNA from 1 species
GACGAACGCUGGCGGCGUGCCUAACACAUGCAAGUCGAGCGAUGAAACCCUUCGGGGUGGAUUAGCGGCGGACGGGUGAGUAACACGUGGGUAACCUGCCUCAAAGAGGGGGAUAGCCUCCCGAAAGGGAGAUUAAUACCGCAUAACAUUAGUUUUUCGCAUGAAGAACUAAUUAAAGGAGCAAUCCGCUUUGAGAUGGACCCGCGGCGCAUUAGCUAGUUGGUGAGGUAAAGGCUCACCAAGGCGACGAUGCGUAGCCGACCUGAGUGGGUGAUCGGCCACAUUGGAACUGAGACACGAUCCAGACUCCUACGGGAGGCAGCAGUGGGGAAUAUUGCACAAUGGGCGAAAGCCUGAUGCAGCAACGCCGCGUGAGUGAUGAAGGCCUUCGGGUUGUAAAGCUCUGUCUUUUGGGACGAUAAUGACGGUACCAAAGGAGGAAGCCACGGCUAACUACGUGCCAGCAGCCGCAGUAACAC